CCAAGAGACCCCCUAAUUGCAAAAGAGGUUGAAAACAAGCUUAAAACAAGGAAAGAGAGGUAAAUAAACAGACCAUAGGUAAAGCCAUAAUCACCGGUACCCAUAACUCGGAACACGAAGGCAAAGAACUCCAAAACCCUAACCCUAACUUCUUCGUUUCUGUCAUGAACCACUCCUGACGGCGGCGAUAGGCCUAGCCUUACCAGCACCAGGAACCACGAAACCCUAACCCUAACCCUAACUUUACCGAUUCCGUCACGCUCAAAACACCAAUGACCGUUGACGGCGGCGUUAGGACUAGCCCUUACAAAUAGUUUAAUAUAUUAAUUAGCAAACCCAUGAAAAUUCGAGAUAAGUACUACCAAGCUUCCGUUUUUUGGUCAAAUUUCAAAGGUGCUCUUCUAUACUAUGCAUUAUGCAGUUGCUUCAACACUUUGAAAUAUAUCCACCAUAAAUAAUCCUAAUCCUUAUUUCAAAGUGUUGAAGCCGUCGGAGGUUUCGCACUUGCGGAGCUUGAAGCUUUCAAUUCCGAGCUUAUUGAGUGAGCGAAGCACGCAUCUAGGAUUCAUAUGUGAAUUGAAGCACAAGUUUAUUAGCCUGAAGACUACAUAUUUAGCUUAAGUGGGAAGUUAGAAAGAAUACAUCCAUUGUACUUGCUAUAUUGGUACAAAAGGGAGGUCCUUUGACAAGCAAGAAAUUUAAUGAAGUUCGAGACAUGUUGGCGUCUUUCAUCACCUUUAAUUUGUAAAUGUCAUUUCUAUUUGAAUUUAUAUUUUGUUAACUUUUUAACUACAUUAUUAUGACACUUUUUUUUUGAGGAAUUGUAAAUAUAUAUGACCCUUUAUUGUAUUGCA